rnacentral:ncRNA from 2 species
ACGGCUCGUCAGGGGGGUCCCGCCUUAAGGGACUGAGAGGCUGAUUGGUGUUGUCGGGAAACCGGCUGCACGGUGAAGCGACCCUUUGAACCUGACCCAGUUGAUACUGGCGUAGGAAGACCGAAGGGCUCUCAU